GCUCCGUAGGUGAACCUGCGGAGGGAUCAUUACAGAGUUCUCGCCCUCGCGGGUAGAUCUCCCACCCACUGUUAUCGUUACUGUGUUGCUUUGGCGGGCCGCCGGGCCCCGCUCGGCCGCCGGCUCCGGCUGGCGCGCGCCCGCCAGAGGCCCAGCAAACUCUGAAUGUUAGUGUCGUCUGAGUACUAUAUAAUAGUUAAAACUUUCAACAACGGAUCUCUUGGUUCUC
rnacentral:misc_RNA from 1 species